UUCGCAUUCUUCUAUAUAACCACCAG
rnacentral:misc_RNA from 1 species